GCUGGGCGCUAUGGCGGGCACCUAUAGUCCAGCUACUUGGGAGGCUGAGGCAAGAGAAUUGCUUGAGCCCAGGAGUUAGAGGUUGCUGUGAGCUGUGAUGCCACAGCGCUCUACCCAGGGGGACAGCUUGAGGCUCUUUUUUCUUUCUUUCCUUUUUUUUUUUUUUUUUUGAAACAGAGCCGUCCCCCUGGGUAGAGUGCAGUGGCAUCACAGCUCACAGCAACCCCCAACUCCUGGGCUCAAGUGAGUCUCCUGCCUCUA
rnacentral:SRP_RNA from 1 species